UGGCGGACGGGUGAGUAAUGUCUGGGAAACUGCCUGAUGGAGGGGGAUAACUACUGGAAACGGUAGCUAAUACCGCAUAACGUCGCAAGACCAAAGGGGGGACCUUCGGGCCUCUUGCCAUCGGAUGUGCCCAGAUGGGAUUAGCUAGUAGGUGGGGUAAAGGCUCACCUAGGCGACGAUCCCUAGCUGGUCUGAGAGGAUGACCAGCCACACUGGAACUGAGACACGGUCCAG
rnacentral:rRNA from 1 species